CUGCAGCUAAGAUUUCCAUCGGAGAUGCCAGAAGAAAAAUGUCCUCCCACUUGCUGUCUCAUUGUGGCAGCCAAGAUAGAACAGGGGAUAACAUGG
ensembl:snoRNA